rnacentral:rRNA from 1 species
UGGGGAAUAUUGCACAAUGGGCGCAAGCCUGAUGCAGCCAUGCCGCGUGUGUGAAGAAGGCCUUCGGGUUGUAAAGCACUUUCAGCGAGGAGGAAGGUGGUGAGCUUAAUACGCUCAUCAAUUGACGUUACUCGCAGAAGAAGCACCGGCUAACUCCGUGCCAGCAGCCGCGGUAAUACGGAGGGUGCAAGCGUUAAUCGGAAUUACUGGGCGUAAAGCGCACGCAGGCGGUUUGUUAAGUCAGAUGUGAAAUCCCCGGGCUCAACCUGGGAACUGCAUUUGAAACUGGCAAGCUAGAGUCUCGUAGAGGGGGGUAGAAUUCCAGGUGUAGCGGUGAAAUGCGUAGAGAUCUGGAGGAAUACCGGUGGCGAAGGCGGCCCCCCUGGACGAAGACUGACGCUCAGGUGCGAAAGCGUGGGGCAGCAAACAGGAUUAGAUACCCUGGUAGUCCACGCUGCAAACGAUGUCGAUUUGGAGGUUGUGCCCCUUGAGGCGUGGCUUCCGGAGCUAACGCGUUAAAUCGACCGCCU